rnacentral:rRNA from 1 species
CAGUCGCCGCGGGAAUACGUAGGUCCCGAGCGUUGUCCGGAUUUAUUGGGCGUAAAGCGAGCGCAGGCGGUUAGAUAAGUCUGAAGUUAAAGGCUGUGGCUUAACCAUAGUACGCUUUGGAAACUGUUUAACUUGAGUGCAAGAGGGGAGAGUGGAAUUCCAUGUGUAGCGGUGAAAUGCGUAGAUAUAUGGAGGAACACCGGUGGCGAAAGCGGCUCUCUGGUCUGUCACUGACGCUGAGGCUCGAAAGCGUGGGUAGCGAACAGGAUUAGAUACCCCUGUAGUCCCUGUCUCUUAUACA